rnacentral:rRNA from 1 species
CCGACGGUGAGGGGUGAAAGCUCGGGUCACGAACCGGAUUAGAUACCCGGGUAGUCCGAGCUGUAAACGAUGUCUGCUAGGUGUGCCACAGGCUACGAGCCUGUGGUGUGCCGUAGGGAAGCCGUGAAGCAGACCGCCUGGGAAGUACGUCCGCAAGGAUGAAACUUAAAGGAAUUGGCGGGGGAGCACUACAACCGGAGGAGCCUGCGGUUUAAUUGGACUCAACGCCGGACAUCUCACCAGCAUCGACAGUAGCAAUGAAAAUCAGUGUGAUGAGCUUAUCGGAGCUACUGAGAGGAGGUGCAUGGCCGCCGUCAGCUCGUACCGUGAGGCGUCCUGUUAAGUCAGGCGACGAGCGAGACCCGCACUCCUAAUUGCCAGCAACACCCUUGUGGUGGUUGGGUACAUUAGGAGGACUGCCAGUGCCAAACUGGAGGAAGGAACGGGCAACGGUAGGUCCGCAUGCCCCGAA